AUCAGGCCAAGAUGAAAAUCUGGGGAGGGAUUCGUACCAUUCCGAGCAGUAUAGUUAUUUUGUCGGGGGGUUCACCAUAUUUAUGUGUUGUAUUUAUCUUAUGUUCUUUGCACCUACAAGUCAUGCGGGUGGGUGUCCUUUCAUGGCAUCCCAUAUCAUAAACACAACUAUCAUCUGCAUAGUUUCAGGAACACUCCCUGCUUUUUAGCCGGUGCGUAUGUUCCAUUCUUUGGCCGACUUAAACUUUUACUCCGAAUAAAAGCAAUUAUAAGAACAUGUACUUCCUUUACAACAACCCAAAAACAAAGCUGCUAUAUUUAAAAAGCGAUUUAUUUGGGAUCGCUCAUUGCUUGUAUUCUAAACAUAUGCAUGACACACCUUACAUUUAUACUAAAUGCUUUCUUCACACAGUGUGGGCAUAGAACAACUAAGCUAAAUGUACUGUGUUUUGUUGUGGUUGGUAUGGCAGAGCUUGAAAACAAAGCCCACAUAAUUUAGGCUUCCUCUUCCUAUUUGCAUCUUACACAAUCUUUGAAGCUACAUGAAGUUGUCACUACGCUUACAUUUGCUGGAAUAUACAGCCUUGUUAUUCUAACUUUCAUCUUCCACAGGUGAAAUCGCAUCAUAACUUAUUUGCACAUGUUGUCCGAGGAUCGUCAGAGGUGUAGACAGUGCUUUUUGUGUUUGUCGUGGAACGUUGUGCUUCCUCGCAUCUUGUCUUUCAAUGGGGGUGCAUGACACCCUUUGUUUCUCCACCUUGCAACCUUUGUGUCAUUUAAGGCUCCAGACACCACGUCUGCACUUAAGAGCACAGAGCCCCUGCUGGUAUGAGGAGAAUUCUGCAGGAAGCUCUCUUUAUAUUUAUGCAACACAACACUUGCACUUAAAUGCUUGGUUUCCUGGGUCUCUCAUGGGCUUCCCCUAACACGACCACACAGUUCAGCUCCCGGUUUUGAGCAUUCGUGGUAAGACACAGUGUAAACACGCUGUCUUCCCUUCAUUUAAAGUCUUUUCGUCUGUCUGACCCUUUCAUGCCGUCACCACUCAUCAUAAAUUACGUCAGCCCAGAUGAUGUUGCGUCACAGGUACCUUUUGUUCAGCUGUGUAGGUUUUACAGACCUUGAAGCCAAUUUGUUUUCUACAUUCGUUUUCAUUGAUUCACUCAUUCAAUGCAAGAUUUUAUAGCUGUGUAUUUCCAUUCAUCCAGCAUCCAGUCUUGUUCUGUACUUGAGGAUCUCUCCCACUCGACUUUGUCCCGCCACAAAAAUAAUGUAAGUUAGCCUCAUUCAUACACAACUUCUGGGCUAUCGUCGCUGCAGUUGCCCUUCUUUCACUUUCACUGGCUGCAGGAGGCUAAUCCUGGCAGGGGCCACUCUUUCACACAGACACACACGCAGAAAAAGGCAAAAGUGAAUGAUGUGCUGGCUUGUGUGCAUCUCAGUGUUGACGGUGGCCCUUCUUUCUCAAGGAAUCCAAGAGCAUUAGCCUCUGCGGCUGCUGGCCACCACAGACGCUGCUCUGUCGUGUGGUAAUGGAGGCUUCACUGGAGCUUAGCUGUCAUUCACAAUCUGCUGAUUCUGGGAAGCUGUACAUGAUGGCUUGUUCUGGGGCUCUACGCCACACUAGGGGCCACUGUUUCUGUCUUGCAGGCUUGCACCAUUCAUUCCGACUAAAAGGUAGCAAAAGGUCCUCUUUGCCACCCAUGGGCAGUCAUUAUCUCCGUGCAGCCCACCUUUACAAUUGACCAGUGCUGGGUGCUUCUUCGACUCUGCCAGCUCCUAACAGUUUUCUGUUCAACCAGAUGACCCUGUACCGUCGAGAAGCCCAUCUUCAUCCCAUCCGAGCAUCUGUGACGGCUCUCGAUGGCAUCUUUGCACGCAUCCCAGAGCACUCACUUGCUGAGCUUGUGGCGUCCAUAACAACUUGCUUUGCUGCCAUAUUCUUGCCAGUGUUUUCGAAAAAGGACAGUGGACACUGGUGGAAAAAAUCGCCUGUCUCUGCUUCUUGCAGGUGUUUCAAAAUUGCUGCUCUCAUAUAUGGUGCGCACAUAGGAUAGUGCUUGGUGUAUUCUACCUUGCUCGACAAAGUAAUGGAUAAUAUGGCUAAUUUUGACACAGUUUGACAAACAAUCCACUGCACACAAUGCCAUUCUCCAGGAAUUCCUGGAGAUUCACCAUGACUUUGGGGACCACCAUGCUGUCUACCCUGAUGGGACCAAAGUAAGCAAUGGUGUGGCAGCUGUUGCCCUUGAAGGCGAUUCUAUUAUAAUGGCACACUUGAACACGAAUGCCACAGUUUUUCACCAUAGAGCUUUACGCGAUUCUCCUGGCUCUGCAGCACAUUCAACAAAAUGACCUUCAAAACUUCGUUAUUUACUCUGAUUCGCUAAGCUCUGUGCGUGUGCUGCUUUCAUGCUCUGACACCAAGAAUCACCUCGUCAAGCAAGGAUGGGCGCUUGCGACUCAACUUUGUUCCCUAGGCUUUUCAAUCUGUCUCUGCUGAGUCCCCAACCACACUGGGAUCCCAGGGAAUGAACAAGCCGACCGUAAGGCUCGGCGAGCAUUGGCACAAGAGGAGUCGCCUCUAGGACUACCCUACCAAGACAUCCUGCCAGUGUUAAAGUUCAGCAUUGCUCCGCUUUUAGCCUUUAUCACCCAGUUCCUCAUGUAAAUCUCUCAUCCUGGAUCAUCUCAUCGCUCAUACUUGUAGAUAGCUUUUAACUGCCACACGCACUUGUUAUCGUCAUCCUCCUUUCUCUCUUAUCCUGGACCAUCUCAUCGCUCAUAACUGUAGAUAGCUUUUAAUUACUACACUCACUUGUUAUCGUCCUCUCUCUCUCUCUCCCACAUCAUCUCUCUCCCAUCAUCAUGCCCCACACACUCCCCAUAGUUCUGGCACUCUUUGGCCUUUGCCGCCUUUGUGCCAUUAAACACAUAGCCUCUCUCUCAAAUUUUUUAUGCCCACAUGAUUUGUUAUAAUCACCUAUGCAUUAUCUUGAAUCCCACGAGUUCUCGUUCACGGAGAACAGUUGAAUGGAUUGUUUAUGAUCGCAUUAAGACAUCCCUUGCUGCUGUGCGCCAUGCACUUAACACCAUCUUCAUCGUUCUUCAGUGACUCCAGCUUAGUCAUCUGUUUGCCAUCUGUGUUAAGCAGUCCCGGCCAAGGUAGUGUCUCCGAGGUCUAUCACAUAUCCACCUUUUCAUUUCAAGUACAUGUUGCUGGGUGAGUGUCCUACAAGCUGAGAAGUGUUCUACGUCAGCACUCCAAAACACCACAGCUGCUCAUGUCAUGCUGGAGGUUAACGAACCAUUUUGAGUUUCAUACCGAGGCUAACGUGCCAUUUUCUGUUUCUUCUGUAUUUCACACAGAGAAAAACGAUCACCGUGGUCCUUCACAUUCUUUCUGGAUUCUUUGAGUGGGUCGAAGCACAUUAUUUCUUACUUCGUUAGAUCUACAGCAAUGAGGGUCCAGCGUCUUGUUAUGGGAGCUAACUGCAUUCUUUCCACCUCUGGCUCUCUAUUCUCUAUAUUGCCUUUCCAUGACUGUCUGUCCUCAGUUUCUACACCAAGGAUGUUGCCAUAUUCAGCAUCUGUACUACCGCAUGGCGUGUGCUUGGCUCUUCGCCAGUUAGAUCUUCUGUUAUAUCUAUUAGAUCUAUCUUCGUCACAUCACCUCUCGUCAUCUCUCUGCCUCCAUCACUAUAGCAUACAUCGGAAUUGCCCUUCUGAACGGCAAAAGGAUCACACAAGCUGGCUUUUAGCGACACUUGUGUCACUGCUGUCCGAACUGGUGACUACUACCUCACUAUGAUUAGGCUCAAAUUUUUCUUCUUUUUUUCUGGGGGAGGGGGGGGGGGGAGUACUGUACUCGGCUCAUUUCGUCAUCACUUGUGCAGUGUUCUGUCAUGCCAUUAGUGAUGUAUUGACGUUCUGGACUUUCAGAAUGUUCCCUGAUCUUUACUGUGUUGUAUUGUGCUAUUGUAGUAUUUCUGGAACACUGCACAGCAGGAUUGCCAUAUUUCAUUUGUGUUCUAUCAGCGUCAUCCACGCCUGUGUCAGUGAUUACAUGGAAGCAGGGAUGGCGAGAUAGGAGAGUCAUCUUUGAAGGAAGGGAGCCCGCAUCCUGGGCCUCUUCAGGGGCCCGUGGUACCCAGGGCCCAACUCUUGCUGCGCCCAACCAUGUGCACCCAGCGCACGGACUUCCGUGUGCAAGUGAUGCUGCAUGUGAUUAAUGUGCAGUUACUUUCAAGGAAGAGUUCAACAAGAAAGUUUUUUUCAAGCUUGCUUCAGAAAAUACUUCGUGUUUCAUUCUGCUCCUGUAGUCUGGCAACAUCAGUGUCGCCAGAUAUGCAACGAUUCACUCAGCACUGGAGUCUUGUGUCAUGUUUUAACACGGUUACAUAUUUUUCUCAUACGCAAUCACAGUGGUACUGCAUGCAGGUAUCACUUCGCAUCUGCUUGCUGUGACCUUCUCUGUUCUCACAGCCGAAGCACUCUUUAUCUGCGUUUCUCUUCAGCGUUUCUGCUUCACUCUUCAGCUGCGUUUCAAGCACCCACUGACAAUGCUCUCAAAGAUGUGGUGACACAUUUUUCUUAUGUCACAUGCACCUUGUCUUUGUCUUUGUCCUUACUAGCCUGAAGCCACCUGCUAGUGCAAACCAGCACACAAUGAUUCCACCACUCUCUUCUUCGCUAUUCAACCACUGUUGCACUAUUUGAGGACUCCACUGACCUCCCAGGGAGAGGUACUUGAGAAAAUCAGUUAAGAGAUCGUAAAGCAGGACUGAGUCCGUGUCACUGAGGGCAACAAACAUUGCCCGUUGCUUGUCUCGUUUGUAAUAUGGGAUGAAAAGCGUGUUCCUGUCGUCCACGGACUUGGUGACGAGCAGUUCUUCUGCGAGUAAAUGUGCCACAUUAUCACCUCUGAACAGAGGCAUCAAGUAGGCGUAAGUACUUGCAACCUUGUCAAACCUUACGCUGAGCUACAUUAAAAAUGCCUCAGUUAUUGUGUCGAAGAGGUGGCCCUUCUGAAAUAACUGGUCAGACGCACAUAGCUCGGCUUCUUUAGACCUGUCGAUUGUAGUGUCGAGGGACCUGAGAUCAACGAGCCUUAUAAAUAUGUUUGAGGGCUUUCCAAAUGCAAGUACAACAUCACUACCUCCCCUUGCAUAUGUAAGGCAGAUAGGUAAGGGAAGGGCAGGCUCGCAGCUUUCGGGCUUCGCCACCCUGGAUUUCCUGUUUCUCUGAUUGUCAGGCAUCCCCAUUGCUAGCGUGUGGGUGGGGACGGAUGUUUUGUUUCUUCUGUCAGGAAGUGAACCUCUUUUUCGCUUGACGAGGGCAUGCCAAUUUCUAUUGCUUUUUGCAGUUCUUUUUGCUCUUCCAUUGCUUGAUCUAUGCUGUGCUUUCCUCUUCCUUUGCUUUGAUGGGCUUUUCUGUAACUGAAUUGCUUUUCCAUUUCUUUUUUUGCAGCACAGAGCAAGCGGCACUUCAUUUCGGGUACACCUUGUGGGGUGCCCUCCGUUAUCAGAAUCUGACACACUGCUAGUAGUGUUGGCCAGGGCAAUAUUGUGCCCUAAUGUCUCAGGUACAACUUUGAUGUCCAGGUAACACACUAGUUUCUUGAGUUUGUCCAUUGAUGAAGUCAUUUUUCCUGAAGCAUUCACAGAGCGGAAUAGCUUCCCAUUCAGUUGCUGAACCUCAACUGUCCCCUCUAUCUUUCACAAUUUCAUACGAGUUGUCGCUAUUUCCUUUUUCUGCAUAAUCACCUAGGCCACUUAGUCCACAAGCUCUGUAUUUACGUCUGUCUGUACUCCCACUCAGCUUUUUUGUACUUUAUCUCCCUGCAGAUGGCUUGCUCCUGCCAUAUGUAACUUGUUCCAAGGGGAUUUUUGAAAUCAAUAAACUGAAUUGAAUUUAAUUUUGUGCAA